GUUCCUACGGGGCGCAGCAGUGGGGAAUAUUGCACAAUGGGGGAAACCCUGAUGCAGCGACGCCGCGUGAGCGAUGAAGUAUUUCGGUAUGUAAAGCUCUAUCAGCAGGGAAGAAAAUGACGGUACCUGACUAAGAAGCCCCGGCUAACUACGUGCCAGCAGCCGCGGUAAUACGUAGGGGGCAAGCGUUAUCCGGAUUUACUGGGUGUAAAGGGAGCGUAGACGGUUCUGCAAGCCAGAUGUGAAAGCCCGGGGCCCAACCCCGGGACUGCCCUUGGAACUGCAUGGCUGGAGUGCGGGAGGGG
rnacentral:rRNA from 1 species